rnacentral:rRNA from 1 species
UACGGAGGGUGCGAGCGUUGUCCGGAAUCAUUGGGCGUAAAGGGCGCGUAGGUGGCGGCUUAAGCGUGCGGUGAAAGCUCGAGGCUCAACCCCGAGUCGGCCGUGCGAACUGAGUCGCUUGAGCACUGUAGAGGCAGGCGGAAUUCCGGGUGUAGCGGUGGAAUGCGUAGAGAUCCGGAAGAACACCGGUGGCGAAGGCGGCCUGCUGGGCAGUAGCUGACACUGAGGCGCGACAGCGUGGGGAGCAAACAGG